CAAGAAAAAACGAAUUUCCUAAUUAACCCAAAAUAUUCUAACCUCAGAAAACCCUCUUCAAUCUCUCUCUCUUCCCCUCCACACCCAGCACGCAUUUGGGCAAACCAAAACCCUAAAUUACAUUUCUUAAUUUGUUCGAAUUCGAUCUUCAAAUUUCGUUGAUUUUACCAGUAAAUUUAAGAGUUGAGGAAACCCUUCAAAUUUCUCCUAGAUCGGAAAAAUUUCUCAGUUUUUGAAGUGUGGGAAAAAUGUCGGAGUGUUGUUGUUGGAGAUCCGGUUUACAUCCCCACCGUCCUUGAGUACCUAGCUUGUUUCGAUCUGAGGAAGCAGGUAGCGCACUUCGAUUUGACGAAGUGUCUGGCUUAGGGUCCGGCCAUCAUGUCGUUUUAACGCUGAAGCGUGCAACAAGCAAUGCAUCGUUAUGGAUUGGGUUAAUUUCAGCAGAAGCAGCGCAUCGAGUAUUCUCAUCUGUGUAAUUACUUAAGUUGGCGUCUGAUCUGGUUCUAGAUUUUGAUGAAGGAAGCUCAAAAGGCGGAUACAAGGGUAUCUACUGAUAGGUGCCUUGUGGUUACUUGUCAUUACUUUCAAGGACUGAGGAAACGAAAGUAGCUGGUGCAGAUUAAUGUGGCACUUCAAGACUGAGAUUCCAACUCUAACUAAUUAGCAGGUCAUCCCAGAGUAACUACCCUAUAAGUUGCAUAGCCUCUACCUAUUGUACUCUCCUCUGUUCCUGCUACCAACUCAUCUCAUUCAUCUGCUGCUGGUGUUGCAGCUGGUGUUGCUGCUGGUGUUGCAGCUGGUGUUGCUGCUGGUGCUGGUCUAGCAGUGUUUUGUGCUGGCAGGUCUAUGCUACUGAGGUUGGCACAGUUCUUCUCAGUUGUGCGUUCUUUUAUGAUAUAUUUUGGUCUUUGCUUCCAAAUGGUUCUUCCAUGAGAGUGUUAUUAUCAUGUACUUUCCUCAAGUUCCUGCCACUUAUUCUCAAGCGAUGAUUGACGAGACACGGGAUACUUUGGUUCCAUAUUUUUCAAGCAAAAACAAGUUUUCAAUGAUCGGAUUGGUGAAGAUGAAGAAAAUGAUAUUUUGGACGUUGAUCAUGAAUGAUCUUUGUAGCUAGUGCAUAUUGACACUUUCUAACAAAUGUUUUGCGAAUCUCAUAGCAAGUUAAUACAUUUGAAGUAUUCUUUUGGAUUUAAGCUUGUGAUUGGAGUUUGGAGAAUGUUAUAUAUUACAGUAGUUUUAUUUAAUUUAUUGUUUUGGAGAACAAGAAGGUACAUUGGUCGGUUUGGAGUAUUUUUAUGCAUAUAUAUAAUAUAGAGUUAAUGGAUUUUUACCAUUAAAUUGAA